rnacentral:misc_RNA from 1 species
UUAACAGUCUGGCCACACUCAGAUAUGAGUAGGAAAACUGUAAAAAGUGCAAAAUAAAAUCAAACAAAAAAAUCACUCCCACCGUAUCAACCGGCAUUUUCUUUUGCGAAGAAAAAAAAAUUGGAAUAUUCUUAAAUAAAGAGAUAGACUCUUAAAAAAUAAUAAUUUAACUUUCUAAGUGAUAGCAGAUCUCAUUAAAACAUAAGAAAAAUGUCUGUUUGGAUGCCAUUGGAAUCGAAUCCCGAUGUAUUAACCAAAUACAUACACAAAUUGGGUGUAUCCAAUGAAUGGGCCUUAACUGAUGUUGUAGGCUUGGAGCCUGAAAUGUUGGAAUGGAUACCUAAGCCAGUUAAAUCGAUUAUUUUGUUAUUCCCCUGUUCGGAAACGUAUGAAAAACAUCGUGCCGAAGAACAUGAACGUUUGUCUGGCGAAGCUCAGGAUAAUCCUAAAGAAUUGUUUUAUAUGCGUCAACUGACCCAUAAUGCCUGUGGUACUGUGGCUUUAAUUCAUAGCAUUGCCAAUAACAAAGACAUUACUUUGAAGGAUGGUGCUUUAAAGAAAUUUUUAGAAACCGCAAAAGAUCUAUCGCCUGAAGAGCGUGGCAAGUCUUUGGAAAAUGAUGCCGCUAUGACGGAAGAUCAUCAGGCUUUGGCUCAGGAAGGUCAAACUGCUGCCAAUCCCGAUGAAAAAGUCUAUCAUCAUUUCAUUGCAUUAGUCAAUGUCAAUGGUACUCUUUAUGAAUUGGACGGACGCAAAUCGUUCCCCAUUAAACAUGGUGAAACUACCGAUGAAUCCUUUGUACAAGAUGCUGCACGUGUUUGCAAAGAAUUUAUGGCUCGUGAUCCAGAAGAGUUACGUUUUACUGUCAUGGCAUUGGCUGCCAAUCAAAACUAAAGUGGAUUUUCAUUGUAACUACAAAAAUCCCCAUUAUUAUUAGUGUUGCUUUAAUGCAUUUUUUAUAACUUUUUUUAUAUGUUUAUAUGUAUGCCUUUUUAUGCUUUAAUUAAACUUUUUUUGGUCUGAAUUUAAAUGUAUUCUUUUUUUUUAAAUAAACAAUAAAAUUUAA